rnacentral:tRNA from 1 species
GGAGGGAUGGCCGAGCGGUCGAAGGCGGCGGUCUUGAAAACCGCUGUGGGGGCAACUCCACCCUGGGUUCGAAUCCCAGUCCCUCCGCCA